ACAACUAGACUGUUCAAUCAGAGAGUCCUGCUGUACUCCACAGAUGAUAUCAACAUCUUUGCCAGCAUAAGGAAGAGUGCUGGCAACCCUGCUGAUACCAAGCUCGAUGGUACUCCAAGGCGACAUGUAGAAAUUUCCUAACAACUAUACCCCUUAAUUCAUGACUGCGUUCACUGAACAUGGCAAACUGGGUUGGAUGGGCCAUCUGGAGUAUGGCACUCCCCAAAUAACCUGAAAAAGAAACCAGUGGAGAGGGGUUCAAAUAGCCAAAUGCCUCACCAUCUAAUUAGAGAUGCACAUGAAUGGAUGAAUGAGACUCCCACUCUACCCAGCUACUGUCCAGCGAAACCACAGCCAAGGGAACAGGCUUGGCAGA
rnacentral:ncRNA from 1 species